rnacentral:tRNA from 1 species
GGGCGAUUAGCUCAGCUGGCUAGAGCGCUUGGAUCACACCCAAGAGGUCGCAGGUUCAAGUCCUGCAUCGCCCACCA